AUGCACAAGGGGAACUUUGAGUCCACCCAGGAGCGUUUGAGGAAAAUUCUUGUUGACUGGAGCAAGCAAUAUAUGUCUACGAGGAACAAAGAGAUCCUUAUCAAAUCUGUUACACAGGCCAUACCUGCAUAUGUUAUGAGCGUAUUUAAACUCCCCGCCUCCGUUUGUGAUGAUAUCACACGUAUGAUACGCCAGUAUUGGUGGGGAGUUGAGAAUGGGAAGAAGAAGAUGGCUUGGAUGAGUUGGGAAAAAUUGAGAUUACCUAAACCCAUGGGAGGAUUAGGGUUUAGAGACAUGAGGGUGUUUAACCAGGCUUUGCUCGCUAAACAAGGCUGGAGAUUACUGGACAUACCGGACAACUUAUGUGCGCGCUUAAUCAAGGCGCGAUACUACCCCUCAGGCCAGCUUUUGGAUACAGUGUUCUUGGGCACUGGCUUAGAAGUUUGGAAAGAAAUCUUGCAUGGGCUUGAGCUGAUA
rnacentral:rRNA from 1 species